AAAGCAUGGGGAUAUUUCAUAUUUGUGAUCUCAAAAAAGAAGAAAAAAGUAUUUGGAACUAUGAUUUUGAUGAUUGUAAAGUUCUCAAUAAAAAUUGUGUUGAUUGCUUAUUAAACUUCGCAAUUUAAUAAGCAAUCAACAUAGCUACAACAUAGCUACAACCUACAGUUUACUCAAUAAAAAUUGUGUUGAUUGAUUAUUGAAGUUCUCAAUACGUUGUAAAGUUCCAAAUACAAUCAAUAACUAGAUAUGUGAACCUACAUCUAGCGUUUACGCUACCCGCUGGACACUAGCAACAGUCCCUCUUGGACUGAAACUCUCCAGCAUUACACUGGCUACUCUAAAAACCAUAUCAAAAUAGAACUUCCCCAGAUUCAGCAUAAUAUAUAGCAAUUAUGCAAGUUAUAUAUAGUGCUUUAACAUUAUUUUUAUGAGCAGGGAAUGCGUUAGGCUAUUGGUAAGUUUUCAUAUGGUAGCGCCAUAAAGCAAGCUGAGGGCAUUUUUUGGUCUUAAAGCCUGUACUUUCUAUUAGAACCAUAAUGAAUUGUGACUAACCUUAAAUUGUAUACAGAAAGAAGAAUUUCAACUCACACCUUAUACAACAAAUCCUUACGAGGCAUUGGGUCCAUUAGGACAACAGUCUUGCAAGGUAAAUUUUCCAGCUGGCACCAAUUUGUUUUUUUGUAACCCCUUUCCAUUCUACUGUUAUGUUGAGAAGUUGCUAUAUAUCGAGUCUGCGUUGUCUGUACUUCCUAACUUAUGCAUUUAUAUCAUAUGGAAGUUUAGUAUGAGUUUAGGGUAUAGCCGAAACAUAUUAUUUGCCAUUGUAGCUUGUAGGGUUAAGAUUAUUUUAUUCUUUCACUUAUAGACGUGUUAAUUUCCUUGACUUACUUUCACUAUUUGGUUAACCGUCCAUGGGAAGCGUGGUAAUGUGCUCAUUCAUUCUAUUAUUGUUAGAAGUUGAUAUAUAACUUAUUAUCUUGUUAUACUAACAAUGUAAAUCCUCUUUAGUUGUAGAGGGUGGAAAUAUUGUUUUCCAAGGAGACAUUGAAGAAACAUAGAGAUAGAGAUAGAGAUAGGCAGCCACGACAAGCUGCAACUCUUCUUUAAUCUCUAAAGAAGGCUGAUGUCUUCUUUGCAAUUUUUAAUGAAACCUCAAAAUUAUAGUGGCUUUUGGCCUAUAUUAUUAUUUGUUGGAUUUUCCAGCAGCCAUACAUUCGAGCGGUAACACACAAUGACUUUGGAAAUGGGUAUGCUUGUGUGGGCAAAGGUGAUGGCAGAAGGUCUGCUUGAUGGAUGGAGGUGAUGGCAGAAGGCAUUUCAUUCCAAGUUACAACCUUUCUACAGUCAGUUAUUAUGAUGGUGGAAUAAAAUGCCUUUUAUAUAUAUGCUCGAGAAACUACGACAGCCUAUGGUGUUAAGAGAACUUCAAACGAUAAUACUUGGGUUGUUGAUCCUAUGUUGGGUAUGUAUUCAACAUGAAUACCUCGGAGUAUGAAAAGGCACAGGAGUAACUGAAAGUCUGAGACGUAAUGUGUAGUUAUGGAGAUUGAGUUGAACAUGACUGAAGGAUUGAAUAUCAGAAUCAUUCAAUAGAUCAACAGGCCAAUUGCGAAAAGCUAGCAAUAAAGUCUCUUAUUAUCAUUAAUUGUAAUAUAUGUAAGAUUUGAGAGUUAGCAUAUAUGGAUUUGUUUCUUAAAGUUGGAUUAGAUGCUACUUUCGGGUCUUUGAUGCAAACUCAGUCACCUCUUUCGUGAUUAUUUAGAUAUUAUUGGUAUGGUUAUCUAAGUCGAAGAACACGCAAACCAUAGUGACAUGUUAUAUACGCAACAAGGGCGUUUUAGAGCUAAUGCAAUCUAUGUAGCUUAUGUUCUUAACUA